GGAGGGUGCAAGCGUUAUCCGGAUUUAUUGGGUUUAAAGGGUACGUAGGCGGUAAAAUAAGUCAGUGGUGAAAGCCAAUAGCUUAACUAUUGAAAUGCCAUUGAUACUGUUUUACUUGAGUACAGUCGAGGUAAGUGGAAUUCCAUAUGUAGUGGUGAAAUGCAUAGAUAUAUGGAGGAACGCCGAUAACGAAAGUAGCUUACUAGGCUGUUACUGACGCUGAGGUACGAAAGCGUGGGGAGCAAACGGGAUUAGAGACCCCGGGUAGUCCACGCUGUAAACGAUGGUCACUCGAUGUAUAUUUAAUAUGUAUCUAAGUGAAAACCGUUAAGUGACCCACCUGGGGAGUACGCUCGCAAGAGUG
rnacentral:rRNA from 1 species